GAGGAUGGCUUUAGCGUGCAAGGCAUGGCAGGGCUGCUCACCCAUUUGGGCCGCUGCUGCAACCCCGUGCCCGGCGACCCCAUUGUCGGCUAUGUGACGCGCGGCAAGGGGUUGACGAUCCAUCGCGUCCACUGCCCCAACGUCGCCAACAUCGUACGCAAGGGACAGCAAAACCGUUUGAUGGAUGUGCAAUGGGCAGCGCGACCAGAAGCGACCUAUCCUGUACGCAUCCAGGUUAGCGCCUAUGACCGUUCAGGGCUGAUGCGCGACGUGGCGGCGUUGGUAGCCGACGA
rnacentral:misc_RNA from 1 species